rnacentral:rRNA from 1 species
CCUACGGGAGGCAGCAGUGGGGAAUAUUGGACAAUGGGGGGAACCCUGAUCCAGCGACGCCGCGUGAGUGAAGAAGUAUUUCGGUAUGUAAAGCUCUAUCAGCAGGGAAGAACAUGACGGUACCUGACUAAGAAGCCCCGGCUAACUACGUGCCAGCAGCCGCGGUAAUACGUAGGGGGCAAGCGUUAUCCGGAUUUACUGGGUGGAAAGGGAGCGUAGACGGUGCAGCAAGUCUGAUGUGAAAGGUCGGGGCCCAACCCCGGGCCUGCAUUGGAAACUGUUGAACUGGAGUACAGGAGAGGUAAGCGGAAUUCCUGGUGUAGCGGUGAAAUGCGUAGAUAUUAGGAGGAACACCAGUGGCGAAGGCGGCUGACUGGACUGUAACUGACGUUGAGGCUCGAAAGCGUGGGUAGCAAACAGGAUUAGAUACCCGGGUAGUC